ensembl:lncRNA novel transcript, antisense to KCNMB2
AGGAUUAAUUGAUUGCUAUAAAAAGUUAGAUGAAAUAAAAUGUUCUCCUUGCUCUUCAAACUAAGAUAAGCUAAUAACUUUGGACACAAUUUCACUCCUCUGCAUUCACCAAAUGUCCAAUUACAUAUCCUCCCUGCCUGGACCUUCAGAACAAUAUAAAACUGAAUGAAGGCUAUGAAAGAAGUCACAGGAGGAUUUUUGCAGAGCUUCCAUCCAGUUCAGAAACAAAGCAAUUCAAUACAUGUCUUCAAGAUUUCUAAAGGCAAUGACUUAGUCAUGAAAUCUGAUGUAAUUACAAGCAAAAAAUACAUCUGGUAUUUACUAGGUUAGAAAGCAUGAAAAUGUGUGUAACAAGAUUAGAAAAAGGUUACUUCUCCAAGAAAGGAAAAAACAAAAGAAAGAAAUGCUGUGGGAUUGUAUUGGACUCCUGACAAUGGCACCAACUUCACAAUGUGAUAUUAAUAGAUUUUGAAGGAUGGGGUGAGAGUGCCGAAGAUAUGACAGUAUCCUUCUGGUGUUUUCUUUGGAGAUGAAAGAGAUAAGGCAAUUUUUUAAAUGUAUAUCCUAGAUGCUUAUUUAGCUCAUGACCCUUUCAAAACAUUUGCAAUCACACAUUUUGAUGAUUUUUCUGAUGUGACUAAAUCUUAUGAGUUAUUUUUAUUAAGAUCUUGCAAGGUUGCCAGACAACUAAUUGUGGUGGAAAACAGCCAAGGAGCAGGGUCAAAGUGGUGCACAAUGUGGACUGUUUCUCCAGCCUAUUAGUUAUCUGCAUUCCUAAUCAUUCCAGAAACCUCUUUUAAAUCUGAACAAAUAUUUGUCUGCAUACUCUUCUCUUUUUUUUCAAUUUUUGUGUCUGUGUCAUGUGUGCAUUUAUAACUUACUUAUCUCACUAGAUUGCCAUCUCCUCCCAGGCAUAGUCUGUGUCUUGUCUUAUCUUGAAGAGUACUGGUAGGAUCUAAUAUAAGUUUAGGCACACAGGUCUUCCUCUAACAUGGAUCCUUUUGGUUGCAGGAAAAGGAGUUUGGGUUGUAGAUAGGACUAACCUCCUCACUAGAUGUACACAUUUUACAAUUAUCUUUACAAAAUUUGCUCCUUAUCUUCUCAUGAUGACCUCAAAGAAGAAAAGAAACUUAGCUUAUUCCUUCACAUGGAUUCGUGCAUCAAACACUAUUGAGUGCAUAUUGCAUGCCAGGUUCUGUGUUAGCAACUGGAAUGACCAAAUAAAUGUGACAAGAAUUCUGUCUUAGAGGAACAGUUGAAUAAGAAUAAGGAUUUCAGAGAAAGAGAAGCUCAGAGAAGGAGAAUUCCAGCUGAAUAAAGUCAUGGGAAGGGACACCCCAGCUGCUGGGCUUUAAGAUUAAUAUGUAUUUGUGCCUCAUUUGUUUUUUCUAUCCUGGCUGUCUUUUAUUUUUUUAUUAAUUAAUUUCUUUUGUAAUUUGCAAACAUUGUAUAUAUUUGUAAUGUACAGCAUAAUGUUUUGAUACAUCUGGUGGUUGUGAUUCAGAGUGGGCUCUGGUUAGCACACAAAUUACAUCAUUAGUUCCAUAUUAGUCUAUUUUAGAUAGAUAGAAAUAAAUCAAAGGGAAGAAGAUGACUUGGAAUUUGUGUGAAGCAAAUGAGACACAUACAUAUAGAGAAGGUCAAGACAUGGGAUGACUAAUCUCACCAGAUAGGAAUCUCUCUUUGUGAAUAAAUACACUAAUAUAUGUAGAAACACACACAUUAUAGUAUCGUUUAAAAGAGGAAAAUAUGGAAAACCACAUAAGUAUCAGAUAUAUUAGAAACCACAGAAAUAUCUUCUUAUCAUUUCUUCAUUUCUUAGGGCUAUUUUGGGGGGGAUACUUUUUUCUCAGCUUCUAUUCAUUUUUAAGAGCUAUUUUUUGUAUUAAUACAUCAUAUAUGUUGUAAAUAGUUUCAGAGUUUAUGUUUGCAUUUAAUUAUUUCCUUUGCUGUUAUAUGUGAUAUCCUAAUUUUUAAUUAGUUGUACUUAUGAGUCUCGUACUUUUGGUUUCUGCUUUUGGUAUCAUGCUUAGAAAGACUUUCUCCACCACGAUGCCAUAUAAA